rnacentral:rRNA from 1 species
GUGUGAUGGGGUUACCUCGAGUGCCGUCUGAAAAAGGCGGCUUUUCCAUGGUGUAAUGCGCCGUGGGAAUAAGGGGGGGGCAAGACUGGUGUCAGCCGCCGCGGUAACACCAGCCCCCCGAGUGGUGGGGACGUUUACUUGGCCUAAAGCGUCCGUAGCCGGCUCGGUAAAUCUCUCGUUAAAUCCGGCGUCCCAAGCGUCGGACUGCGAGAUAGACUGCCGGGCUAGAGGGUGGGAGAGGUCGGCGGUAUUCCCGGGGUAGGGGCGAAAUCCAUUGAUCCCGGGAGGACCACCAGUGGCGAAGGCUGCCGACUAGAACACGCCUGACGGUGAGGGACGAAAGCUGGGGUAGCGAAUCGGAUUAGAUACCCGAGUAGUCCCAGCCGUAAACGAUGCAGGCUAGGUGUUUGGGUCGGCCAUGCGCCGACCCAGUGCCACAGGGAAGCCAUUAAGCCUGCCGCCUGGGGAGUACGGCCGCAAGGCUGAAACUUAAAGGAAUUGGCGGGGGGAAGCAC